AGUGAACGCUGGCGGUAGGCCUAACACAUGCAAGUCGAACGGCAGCACAGUAAGAGCUUGCUCUUACGGGUGGCGAGUGGCGGACGGGUGAGGAAUACAUCGGAAUCUACUUUUUCGUGGGGGAUAACGUAGGGAAACUUACGCUAAUACCGCAUACGACCUACGGGUGAAAGCAGGGGAUCUUCGGACCUUGCGCGAUUGAAUGAGCCGAUGUCGGAUUAGCUAGUUGGCGGGGUAAAGGCCCACCAAGGCGACGAUCCGUAGCUGGUCUGAGAGGAUGAUCAGCCACACUGAAACUGAGACACGGUCCAGACUCCUACGGGAGGCAGCAGUGGGGAAUAUUGGACAAUGGGCGCAAGCCUGAUCCAGCCAUACCGCGUGGGUGAAGAAGGCCUUCGGGUUGUAGCCCUUUUGUUGGGAAAGAAAAGCAGCAGGUUAAUACCCCGCUGUUCUGACGGUACCCAAAGAAUAAGCACCGGCUAACUUCGUG
rnacentral:rRNA from 1 species